GUUCCGGCCGCCAUCGCGAGUAUACUAGCUACCUCCUGCCGCGAGACAAAAGAGAGAAAGAUAGAGCGGAACAGUGGAGAAAGCAGAGAUAAACUUUCGGGCUAUUUCGAUGCUAAUGAAUCGUCUUAUUCGCCUCGCCGUAAUUCCGUUCCGUUGUAAAGUAACAAAACGCGUGUCGCGAGUGCCGUUUAAAGUAUCGCGCGAUUAAGUUCAUAAAUAGCUUAUAAUUUUGCGCUAUUGGUUUUUUUAUUUGUGCAAGGUGGGGGGGGGCAGCUCGACAGGGGUCGCGAGUGUGUGUGAAUGAAGAAGCAGAAGGCCCAGGGGACAUCGGGCGACGUCGUAGCAACAUUGUGAUAAACUUCUGUGUGUCGCGUCAUCGUAUUCGUUCCGCCGUAAUAUCGUAAUAUAAUCAAACGCGCGUCGGGAGUGCGGGAGUGUCGUUAUGCCGGGAGUGCCGUGAUAGAUUCGCGCGAGUACGAAACGCCGUAUUUUAGCGAAUCUAUAGAUGAACGCAUUUUUGCUGUAUGACAAAUAUUGGGACACGAUUUUUUUUGACUUUAGGCUUGGCUCG